ensembl:lncRNA
GGCUGACGUGAGAUCUUCCUGUUGCCACAGGUGGGGAUGGGUUCCUCUGAGAGGCCCUGUUCCUGCAGACACGCUCUGAAGGUGUCCUGAGCUCGGGCCUUCACCCUCUUUUGGAUCUCUGAGAGAACCCGGGCGCUGUAAUGCACCUGAGAGGUUGAAAGCCCUGUCUUUAUCAAGAUGAUGAGUCAGGACACAGCAGUGCAAGCCCAUCGCUGGGGAAUGUGCCAAAGGAUAUCUGGAAGAGAUCCCUAAGGAACGUUUAGGGAGUGUUUUAGAAAUGUAUUCAACUAACUAGGCACAAGGGAUCCUGACAAGAACUAAAACGUACUGAGUUUCACUAACAACAGCAGGGUUUCAACUGGAAAACUUUGGAUUCAGGAACACGCAGCAGAGCAAGCACAAGGUCAGUUUUCAAACCAGUAUUAACUUGGGCAAGUUGUCCCUUUCCUCAGCCUAAGAUAGCUGUCAAGUAUAGCAGGUCAUGAUGAAAACACGCUUUCGCUGUAGAGAGGAGUCGCAAAUUUUUGAUCUUCGAUUUCCUCCUGUAAGAAAGGGUUCUGUUUCCACAGCUGCAAGCUCAGCUUUCAUAAGAGAACUUUUUCAGAUAAUGCUCAUGCCAGGGCCACAUUCCAGACCUACUACUUCAGACCCUCUGUGGAUGUCCUGCCAGCAUCAGCUCUUCUAAAGCCUCUCCAGGGGAGAAUUGAUGCAUAGUUUAGGUUGAGAAGCACAAUCCCAUGAUGCUUCACCUGUCCUGGUUUUAAAUAGAAUCCUGAACUGAAGAGCCAUGUUUGGCUACUAAAGCAAAAUUUUUUUAAAAUAUUGUGUCUUCCCUUCUGAGUGGUAUUUUGACAUAUUUACUCACAGCCAUAUUUAGAACAAUUUAAAUGACUCAGUGGUGUGUUAUGCCCCCAAGUCCCCUUCCUUACCAGACACUCAGGCAGAUAGAUGGAUGGGGAAGGAAUGCACCUCAGUCAUGGCGGCAGAAGGAGGAUGGAUGGAGUUCCGCUGUCUUGGUUACUGCUCUGCUGAGCAUCCCUCCUGCGUUGCUGAGGUCAGGAAGGGGCCCUCGCAC